rnacentral:rRNA from 1 species
UACCAGCACCCCGAGUGGUCGGGACGUUUAUUGGGCCUAAAGCAUCCGUAGCCGGUUCUACAAGUCUUCCGUUAAAUCCACCUGCUUAACAGAUGGGCUGCGGAAGAUACUAUGGAGCUAGGAGGCGGGAGAGGCAAGCGGUACUCGAUGGGUAGGGGUAAAAUCCGUUGAUCCAUUGAAGACCACCAGUGGCGAAGGCGGCUUGCCAGAACGCGCUCGACGGUGAGGGAUGAAAGC